AACUCCUGCCCUCUUAUUAUAAAACGCGGUAUCAAAUAAGUAUCGGCUUUUGUACUACCUUUAAUCCACCUUUAAGUACGACCUUGAAAAAACGUUAUUACAAAACGCAGUUUAUCGCAAGUCCUAUUACUAUCUGUAGUACAAAAGAUAAACCAUCGAGCCCCCUAGUUUAACUGCAGUACUUAGUCGACAAACGUCAAAUUCCGACAUUAUUUACUUUUGAGGUUAUUUGUUUUGUGAUGAAAAAAACGAAAGUGGAUAUAAAUAUGUGUGAUUUGGAAUACUUGGAUGUGUUAGAAUACUAUUGAGAGUGUCCGGGGACCCAACAGAAUGCGUCAUCGAGAAAAUCUCUUCAAAUUACCUGACGACAAUUUUCGAUAUAAAUAUCGAUUUACGUUUUUCGAAAUAAUAGUCAAUUGAAUGCAUGAUGAUAAUCUAGGAUGAUCCUACGAUGCUCAACUGGGCUCGCCAUAAAAUUCAAGACUAUUUUGGCGUUUUGCACGCCGUAUCUCUGCCAGUAAUAUGCAAUGUUUGUAAAAGACUGGAAGCUUGCUAAAAUGUACAAAAAUGCCUAGAUGAGAAAGGGAACAAGAUUGUCUGAUGAAGAACAGUGUCCAACAUGUAUCAGUGCAUUUGAAUGUAUAAAUAGACAUCGGAAUAAAAUAUAAUUUUCUACUUUUA
rnacentral:lncRNA from 1 species